rnacentral:rRNA from 1 species
UGGGGGAUAUUGCACAAUGGGCGAAAGCCUGAUGCAGCGACGCCGCGUGGGGGAUGAAGGCCUUCGGGUUGUAAACUUCUUUUGCUCUGAACAAGGCAUGCCUUUGGGGUGUGUUGAGUGUAGGGGUUGAUUAGCGCCGGCUAACUACGUGCCAGCAGCCGCGGUAAUACGUAGGGCGCGAGCGUUGUCCGGAAUUAUUGGGCGUAAAGGGCUUGUAGUGGCUGGUUGCGUCUGUCGUGAAAGCUCAUGGCUUAACUGUGGGUUUGCGGUGGGUACGGGCUGGCUUGAGUGCAGUAGGGGAGGCUGGAAUUCCUGGUGUAGCGGUGGAAUGCGCAGAUAUCAGGAGGAAUACCGGUGGCGAAGGCGGGUCUCUGGGCUGUUACUGACGCUGAGGAGCGAAAGCGUGGGGAGCGAACAGG